rnacentral:rRNA from 1 species
AAAUUGAAGAGUUUGAUCAUGGCUCAGAUUGAACGCUGGCGGCAGGCCUAACACAUGCAAGUCGAACGGUAACAGGAAGCAGCUUGUUGCUUCGCUGACGAGUGGCGGACGGGUGAGUAAUGUCUGGGAAACUGCC